AGUCCAUGAUAUAGGCAGAGACUCAACAUAUCUUUGUAUCUCUCCCAUGCUUCAAAAAGAGUUUCGUUGUCUUUCUGCCUAAAUCUUUUAAUUUGACUUCUUAGCAU